AGUUGUAUCCUGGCUCAGGAUGAACGCUGGCGGUAUGCUUAACACAUGCAAGUCGAACGAAAGUUUUUAACUUUAGUGGCGAACGGGUGCGUAAUACGUGAGAAUCUGCCCUUAGGAUGAGUAUAACUGCUGGAAACGGCUGCUAACACUCAAUAUGUCGAGAGAUGAAAUAAUUUAUUGCCUAGGGAUGAGCUCGCGCCUGAUUAGCUAGUUGGUGAGGUAAUGGCUCACCAAGGCCACGAUCAGUAGCUGGUUUGAGAGAACGAUCAGCCACACUGGGACUGAGACACGGCCCAGACUCCUCCGGGAGGCAGCAGUGAGGAAUUUUCCGCAAUGGGCGAAAGCCUGACGGAGCAAUACCGCGUGAGGGAUGAAGGAUUUUGGUCUGUAAACCUCUUUUCUCAAGAAAGAAGUUCUGACGGUACUUGAGGAAUAAGCAUCGGCUAACUCCGUGCCAGCAGCCGCGGUAAUACGGGGGAUGCAAGCGUUAUCCGGAAUCAUUGGGCGUAAAGCGCCUGUAGGUUGUUUAAUAAGUCUGUUGUUAAAGACUAGGGCUCAACCCUAGAAAAGCAAUGGAAACUACUAGACUAGAGUAUGGCAGGGGUAGAGGGAAUUUCUAGUGUAGCGGUGAAAUGCGUAGAUAUUAGAAAGAACACCGGUGGCGAAAGCGCUCUACUGGACCAUUACUGACACUCAGAGGCGAAAGCUAGGGUAGCAAAAGGGAUUAGAUACCCCUGUAGUCCUAGCCGUAAACGAUGGAUACUACAUGUUGUGCAUUAUGUACAGUAUGGUAGCUAACGCGUUAAGUAUCCCGCCUGGGGGAGUACGCUCGCAAGGGUGAAACUCAAAGGAAUUGACGGGGGCCCGCACAA
rnacentral:rRNA from 1 species